rnacentral:rRNA from 1 species
UACGAAGGGGGCGAGCGUUGUUCGGAUUUACUGGGCGUAAAGGGCGCGCAGGCGGCGCAUUUUGUCAGGCGUGAAAGCCCCGGGCUUAACCUGGGAACUGCGUUUGAUACGGAUGGGCUAGAGUUCGGGAGAGGAGAGUGGAAUUCCCAGUGUAGAGGUGAAAUUCGUAGAUAUUGGGAAGAACACCCGUGGCGAAGGCGGUUCUCUGGGACGGUACUGACGCUGAGACGCGAAAGCGUGGGGAGCGAACAGG